AUGAACACCUUCGCGAUGGCCACGGGCCAGUUGAUAAACCCUUCAAAGUGUUCCAUUCUUUUUUCAGACAAUUGCUUGCCAGCUACAGCGGCAAAUAUAAAGAGUUUGUUGGAGAUCACUCAGGAAGUGUUUGAGCCUAGUUACCUAGGCCUUCCAGUCCUAGAAGGGAGAAUGCACAAAGGCAAGUUUGAAACAAUACAAGAACGCCUGAGGAAGAGACUAAUUGAUUGGAGUGAGAAAUAUGUGUCAUCAAGUAACAAAGAAAUCUUAAUAAAGUCCGUAGAUCAAGCUAUUCCAGCUUAUGUUAUGAGUGUGUUUAAGUUGCCAGCCUCGAUUUGUGAUGAGCUCACCCGUAUGAUGCGUCAAUACUGGUGGGGAGUGGAGAAUGGGAAGAAGAAAAUGGCAUGGACAAGUUGGGACAAAAUGAUUCUUCCCAAAGCUUUGGGGUGCAUGGGCUUCAGGGAUAUGCGAGCUUUCAACCAAGCGCUGCUGGCUAAGCAAGCGUGGAGGCUCCUUGACUCUCCUGACAGCCUAGUUGCGAGACUAAAGAAGGCAAAAUAUUACCCUCAAGGCCAGUUAUUGGAUACAGUAUUUUCAGUCUCUGGAUCAACUGUGUGGAAAGGCAUUCUGCAUGGUUUGGAGCUGCUCAAAAAAGGUGUCAUAUGGCGGGUUGGGGACGGGGAGCAUAUUCGGACAUGGCGGGACCCUUGGAUCCCACGGCCUUCUUCCUUUCGGUCGAUCACCCCAAAAGGCUCCUGCCGUCUCAAUCGUGUUUCUGCACUUUUAGAUGCUAACGGGGCAUGGAGGGCGGAUCGCCUCCAUGAAUUUUUUUUGGGAGAUGGAUGUUCAGCAUAUCCUCAAGAUCCGUACCUCUCCAAGACAGCGAUCUGA
rnacentral:rRNA from 1 species